CGUCAGUUACGUCGCUAGCAAAUAAUAGUGUUGUGUUGUUACGUUUCUCGUUAGACCCGGUUUGUUAAAUCCGCGGAUACUUACUGAGUCCUGAGCCCGGCUCCGUGCGGCGGCUGGGUCGCGGCUGACAGCUGUCGUGUCUUCACGGUGCGGACUGUAGCCGGCGGCAUGUGGACAACCUGAGCUUGUGAUUCGCUGCGCUAAAGUAGCUAACUGUAGCCUGUGGGCUAGCGUGCAGCGGAACAGUGCGACUGGCAGGAAGGAAGGAAGGAAGGAAGCGGAUAAGUUGGAUCACUGCGCGCCGCUGCUCAUGCGAAGCCAGCGCACUUUCUGUCCCGACUCCCCCGUGUGACGCAUGUGGACGAGGUGACUUUCCGCUUUCCCCCCCGUGUGACAUUUAGCACGGGUUUGGUUCUUUAGAAAUCGCAGUUAGAUGGCGUAGCUGGCUGUCAGCCCCCCCCCCCCUCCCCCGGCUAGCUGUACAGCGGGGAAGAGCUAGCACGCUAGCCUCAAACUUCUCGAGAAGUUGUGCAAGUCAGGUCGAGCGAUCUGACCGAUUGAAAGCGACGAGCAGGUCGCUGUUCUAAACGUGUCAUUGACGGGCUCUUUCCGCUCCUAACCCGCUCCAGUCACAGGGCAGACUCAUGGCAUCGGACGUGAUAGAGAGUGAAGUGGUGCUUAAGGGGGUAGGUGAUAUGAAUCUGAACAAUAGCAACCCAGACUGUGUCACACCCAGUACGACUCGCGACGAGCGGGUAAACAAACUGGCCUCCAGCCCCUCGUCUUCUGGGGUGUCGGGAGAAGGCAACGAGGAGGAGGUGGAGGAUUUACAAAAUAGCACGAUGCCUCCUGUCAAAAAUGGCGAAGAGGCACUCCAGGAGAGUCCAACCAAAACAAGAGGCACGCCACAGGAAAGGACGACUCCAGACAAUGAGCAGAAACAGCCUGGAGCUAGAAGCUCUACCCCAGUGAGUCUUCCCAAGCCACGUUCACCGCCCGGGCCCAUCGGAAGUCUUGAGCGCCAAGAGUCAGUCGCCACAACAGAAGCCCGCUUACGCAUGGAAGGAGUGGAACUUAAGGAGGAGUGGCAGGAUGAGGACUUUCCACGGCCCCUACCAGAGGAGGAGGAGCUCGAAGAUGAACUUUUUGCUGGGACGUCCGAGGAGAGAGACCCAGAUUAUGUAAUGGACCAUGGCAAGAAGCCAAAGAAAAAGCUUUCAGCUCCGAACAUCAGCCUGACGUUUGACCGCAGUGAGGGUUCACUUCUCUCUGAUGAGCUGGAUGAAAGUACAGAGCUUGACCUUGAUGACAUUGACACACCCUCAGACAACAGCAAUGAGUUUGAAUGGGAAGACGAUCUCCCGAAACCAAAGGCCACUGAGCUGCUUCAGAAAGGUGUGGAGUCGGUUCAGGAGUCAUCGGCCUCGGAGGAGAGGGAGGAGGGUCGACGCUGGAGGGUGUUUCGUAUCGGAGACCAGGAACACAGAGUGGACAUGAAAGCCAUUGAACCGUACAAGAGGGUUAUCAGCCAUGGAGGUUACUAUGGAGACGGUUUGAAUGCCAUAAUUGUGUUUGCUGUCUGCUUUAUGCCUGAGAGCAAUCAACCAAAUUAUAGAUACAUCAUGGACAAUUUAUUCAAGUAUGUCAUUGGCACACUGGAGCUUUUGGUUGCUGAGAACUAUAUGAUAGUGUAUUUGAAUGGAGCGACCUCUCGGAAAAAGAUGCCAACUGUCGGCUGGCUCAGAAAGUGUUAUCAGCAGAUUGAUAGGAGGUUAAGGAAGAACUUGAAGUCUUUGAUAAUUGUCCAUCCGUCUUGGUUUAUUCGGACCCUGCUGGCACUCACAAAACCUUUCAUAAGCACCAAAUUUAGUCAGAAAAUCAAGUAUGUGUAUAGCUUGACAGACCUCGCAGAGCUGGUUCCUAUGGAGUAUGUGUCCAUACCAGAUUGUAUCAAGCAGUUUGACGACGAAAAAAACAGGAAUAGCCGUAAAAGGUUUAAAAUUUGAUGUUGGCUGCAUCUCAAUUCAGGGGCUGCAUCCUUCAAAGGACGCAGUCUACCCAGCCCGCAUAGGAGGUGGUCAAGGCCAGGAUCGAACAGGACAUGCACGGCAAAGUGGAGAUGGCGGCUGCUGCUGUUCCAGAGUGACGAACCCCCACCCGUUGACACUUCGAGAGCGAUGGAUAAUGUUUUGAACGACGGCCAAUCUUAGGUUUUUGUCCUGGGCGACGUGACUGAAGACUUAAAUCGGAGCAUCGGAAAAUGCCUUUUUGAAACUGUGCUGCCUGUUACAUUGAAACCUUUUGCUGUAUUUCUGUGUCAAAUAGCUUGAUCUUCAGCAUUUUCACCACAUGCUGUCUGAAAUGUUUUUAAUCCUUUUUACUUCCUGCCGGUGUAUCAAGUCCAACUUAGUUUAUUGGUGUUCCCUAGUUACACUUUAUUUAAGGCACUCUUGUUACAAAUGGUUGAUGCAUGCUCUGCUUUAUUACAUUUAAAUAUAUAUAUUUAUAUUCAAAAGGUGACAAAGGAGAGAAAUUAAUAUAUUUUUAUGAUUGCUCUUAUUUUAAACUGCAUUUUAGGUCUCUGACCCACUGAGUGGCAUUUCUUGGAAGUUUUGAUGGCACCUUUUUCACUGUUCACUGCUGGCGUUCUCUUAUAAAAUCCUGCCUGGGGAAAAUAAAGUUUUAUUUUUUGCCCCUCA